rnacentral:rRNA from 1 species
GAUGAACGCUGGCGGCGUGCUUAACACAUGCAAGUCGAACGAAGCAACUUAUUACGAUCCCUUCGGGGUGACGAUUUGUUGACUGAGUGGCGGACGGGUGAGUAACGCGUGGGUAACCUACCUUGUACAGGGGGACAACAGUUGGAAACGACUGCUAAUACCGCAUAAGCGCACAGCUUCGCAUGAAGCAGUGUGAAAAGUUAUUUCGGUACAAGAUGGACCCGCGUCUGAUUAGCUAGUUGGUGGGGUAACGGCCUACCAAGGCGACGAUCAAUAGCCGACUUGAGAGAGUGAUCGGCCACAUUGGGACUGAGACACGGCCCAAACUCC